rnacentral:rRNA from 1 species
AUUGAACGCUGGCGGCAGGCCUAACACAUGCAAGUCGAACGAGUGGCGGACGGGUGAGUAAUGUCUGGGAAACUGCACGAUGGAGGGGGAUAACUACUGGAAACGGUAGCUAAUACCGCAUACCAUCGGAUGUGCCCAGAUGGGAUUAGCUAGUAGGUGGGGUAACGGCUCACCGAGGCGACGAUCCCUAUCUGGUCUGAUAGGAUGACCAGCCACACUGGAACUGAGACACGUUCCAGACUCCUACGGGAGGCAGCAGUGGGGAUUAUUGCACAAUGGGCGCAAGCCUGAUGCAGCCAUGCCGCGUUUAUGAAGAAGGCCUUCGGGUUGUACAGUACUUUCAGCGGGGAGGCGUUACCCGCAGAAGAAGCACCGGCUAACUCCGUGCCAGCCGCCGCGGUAAUUC